rnacentral:lncRNA from 1 species
AUUGCAACAGAACAAAGGAUCGGGGGAAAAAUGUAUACAUGUAAGAAUAACUUGAUCCCCAUGCUGUACAGGGGGGAAAAAAUAAAUAAUUAACAAAAAAUCUUCAAACUGUUUGUAAAGACAAGUCCACAAAAGGGAAGAGAAUAUCUGUAAACUAUAUAUUCUAGAUAUGAAUCCCAUAUCAGAUAUAUGAACUCUCAUAACUCAUAAAUUAAAAAAAUAAUUCAAUUUUAUGGAGUUCCAUUCAUGGCUCAGCAGUUAAUGAAACUGACUAGGAUCCAUGAAAAUGCAGGUUCAAUCCCUGGCUUUGCUCAGUGGGUUAAGGAUCCAGAGUUGCCUUGAGCUGCAGUGUAAGUCACAGCCAUGGCUUGGAUCCCAAGUUGCAAUGGCUGUGGUGUAGGCCGGAAGCUGUGCCUCCGAUUCAACCCCUAGCCUGGGUGUGGCCCUAAAAAGCAAAAAAAAUAAAUAACUCAAUUUUUAAAAUGAGAUCCGGGAGUUCCUGUUGUGGCACAGUGAAAACAAAUUCAACUAGUAUCUGUGAGGAUGGGAGUUCAAUCCCUGGCUUCACUCAGUGGGUCAGGGAUCCGGCACUUCUGUGAGCUGUGGUAUAGUUCGCAGAUAUGGCUCAGAUCCCACGUUGCUGUGGCUGUGGCAUAGGUCGGCAGCUAUAUAGCUCCAGUUCAGCCCUUAGCCUGGGAACUUCCAUAUGCCACAGGUGCAGCCCUAAAAAGAAAGAAAGAAAGAAAGGAAAAAAAUUAGAUUUGAAUAAACAUUUCUUUAAAGAAAAUAUACAAAUGGCCAAAAUUACCUAAGAUGCUCAACAUCCUUACCCAUCAUGAAAAUCUAAAUCAACAAUGAGAUAUCACUUUACAUUCAUUAAUAUUAGUAUCAUUGGCUAACAUCAAAAAAAUAGGAAAAUAAUGUAUAUUGGCAAAAAUGUAGGGUAAUUGGAGACCUUAUAUACAUUGUUAUUCGGAACGUAAAAUGGGACAGCUACUUUGGAAAAUAGUCUGGCAGUUUCUUAAAAAAAAUGUAUGACCCAGCAAUUCUACUCCUACAUAUAUAUCCGGGAGAAUUAAAAAUGUAUAUCAGGAGUUCCCAUCGUGGCACAGCAGAAACAAAUGUGACUAGGAACCAUAAGGUUGCGGGUUCGAUCCCCUGGCCUCGCUCAAUGGGUUAAUGAUCCGACAUUGCCGUGAGCUGUGGUGUAGGUCACAGACGCAGCUCGGAUCCCGCGUUGCUGUGGUUCUGGCAUAGGCCAAGAAGCAACAGCUCCGAUUAGACCCCUAGCCUGGGAACCUCCAUGUGCCGCAGGUGCAGCCCCCAAAAGACAAAAGAUAUAUAUAUAUCUAUCUCCACACAAAACCUUUCACUUGAAAAUUUCUAACAUUAUUCAUAAUAGCCGAAAAGUAGAAACCACCCAAUUGUCUAUCAAGUGAUGAGUGGAUAAGUAAAAUGUGAUAAAUGCAUAUCAUCAGAUAUUAUUUUACAUUUAAUCAUGUGAGGAACCUGAUCAAAAUGGUUUCUUAUGAAGAUUUACUAUAGCAUCAAUGUGGAUAAUCACUUGUGGGGGUGGGAUGGGGAGGUACUGAGAAUGGAAAAACGAAGGACCUUCAGAGAUUGCUUCUAUAUCCCAGAGAUGCAUGAACUAAGGCAGUAGCAGGUGUGAUAGGAAAGAUGGGACAGAUUUCAGAGAUACUGUCUAGAAGUAAUGGAACUCAGCAAGUAAUGGAGGAGGAAAGGAAACAGAAAGGAAGGAAUCAUAGCAAGCUUCUACUUCUAAGGACUCCCCUCAGGCAAUGUUAUCAGAGAGUAAAAGCUCCCAAACUGUCCAAUAUCAAAAGUCAGUAAACUUUGAGAAACCCUCUAAGAGAACAGGCUACAGAACCAGACUCGCUGGAUUCAAAUCCAGCUUCUCAAUUUCCUAUGUUGCCUUGAGCAAGUAAAUUACUUUACAUUUCCAGUAAAGUGAAGAUACUAUGACCCAAUUCAUACAGCUGUGAGGGUUAGAGAGUCAAUACAUCUACACAUACAGACACUUAAGACAUAGUCCAGAUACAUGCAGGUGUUCCCAAUAUUCCAGACACAUGGAGGUUCCCUAAGUCUCAGCUCUUCUCAUUAAAGUCCCUAUCCUAUGAAUUUGCAGGGAGUUUAUCUCUUUACUAUGACAUAAAAUUUGCAUGGCACCCUGCAUUAACUGAUGGUAGCUUAUACCCUGUGAGUGCCUGAUAGGCAGAAAAGAGUCUCAAGCUGUGGCAUGGUCAAUUUGCUGGUUUAUUCACCAGUAACUAGCUAGCAGAUAUUAAUAACUUCAUUGUAAAAAUGGACACAUUCAGACUUUUGAUUUGAAGGCUAAAGGCUCAGUACACCAACUCCAUUUCCUUUGACUAGUUGCCCUCUUCCACAUGUGUAUUGACUGUAAUAAAUUAUUACCUUUUGCAGGAACUGAAUAUUCAGCAUCUGGAAGGAUUAAGCAGAACACUAGGGAGUCAAAAGAUUAAUUAAGUGAAAAUUAAGAAGGAAAUAGAGAAAUAUGUUCUUAAUCCCUAAAAAAGGAGUUUUAGUAAGCUCUCAUACUUCCCCCUGUUAGGCCAGUUAUUAAAUGGAAUUCUGUCCUUUAGCUGUCAGUGGCUUUCCAGAGUACAAUCUUUCCCCACAGAGGAAUCUUUUAAAAAUUAUAAAUAAAAUCUCCCAGUUUCUUUCCCCACAGAUAAGAACAUUAGAACACUGAUAUUUUAAUCUGUUCCUAUACAAGAAUGAGUUGUGUCAACACAGUGCUCCCAGCUACAGCACUGAAAACAAGUUUAAUUAAAGACAAAAGAAACAGCAUGUGGAGCCUCAGCCAUUGAGAUACGAUGAAGAGUGUCAUCUUCAGAUUCAGUUCACUACGAACAAAUCUUUUUGUCAGUCUCAGGAGAAAAACAAAAAAAAGGUAGCAAAGUAAAUGUGUGAUGCUUUAAGGGAAUAAAAUGGUGGUAUCGAACAUGAAUAUUCAGACUAAGGACUAAAAAAAAUAGUAUUUAUGUGGUACAUACUUCCAGAGUAUGAACCCUGCUCCUAAUAUCAUAAAACGUCUUUGGAUAUAAAUAGAUGCCUAUUAACCACAUAUAUGUUGUACAUGAUAGAGCUGAAGCACAAAAAGGGAAAGAAGCUUAGCCAAGAUCACAAGGUUUAGCAAAGAUAAAUGAUGCUUUUACUGCGUUUAUUCUAGAAUAUUGGUUAUAUUCCUUCCUCAAAUUCUAAUUUGAAGAAAAAAGUACCAUUAUCAUGUACUAUCUUCCAAAAUUUUUUUAUUCUUUUAAUGAUUUUUUUUUCUCUUAUAGUUGGUUUAGUGUUCUGUCCAUUUUCUACUGUACAGCAAGGUGACCCAGUCCCACAUAUAUGUAUACAUUUUUUUCUAUCUUCCAAAAAUAAGCAUAGCUCUAACUAUAUUCUAACAAUAGUUUGCUUGCCAUCUCCUGCUCUUCUGUUCAGGGCCCAAUCACCAAAGAGGCAGUACAGCACAGGGAAAAGAAAACAGGGCAGAUGUGCCCAGGUUCCAACCUCAGCUCUACCACUUCCAGCUCAGCAACUUUGGGGCAAGUUACCUGUUUGAGAUUCUUUUUCCUAAUCUAUAAAAUAGGAAUGAUAGCAACUACUCAGUAGUGUUAGGCUAAGGCUUCAAUGAGAUAAUACAGGUAAAGUACCCAGUUCAUUUCUUGGCAUAUACAGUUGAUGCUCCAUAAAUAAUCUAUGAACUUUUGAUUUCAAGAACACUGACCACUUGUUGAUUGUACGUUAUCAUACUCUCCAGAUUAUCUAUUUCUUAUGACUAAAAGUCUCUCUUCUUACCCAUAACAUAGCCUUAUUCACCUUACCGGGAAUGUUUAGUAAUAAGUGUAAGUACCUACUGGUCUGCAUAUAUAUAUAAAACUUGGGUUUUUGCAGCACAGGAUUACAGAAUGGUUAUCAGGUAUGGGUUCUAGUGUCAACACUGCCCAUUGUAACUGAUUACAUUUUAAUCCUGGCAUUGAUUCUUAAUAGCACACAACUGUUGGCAAGUUACUUAAUUUACCUGUGUCUCAAAGGUCCUGAUUUGUAAAAUGGAGAUCUAAAAAUAUUUUCUAUUUAAAGAGAUGCUGUGAAGAAUAUUUAAAGAUACAUAAAGCUAUUAAAAUAAUGCCUGGUUCAAGUAUGAACUUGAAAAACAUUUGCUAUUACCUGAUAAUUGUAUAUGCAUAAUGAACAUUAUAUUUAUUCUAAAAGGUAUUAAAGAUUUCUCAGAAUUUAUAUGAUAUAAAGUUGCAGGGGGGGAUAAAUAUCAUUAAAGCAUUAGGAACAUGUAUAAACCUGUGUCCUCAUGGAUAGUAGUCAGAUUCCUUUCUGCUGAGCCAUGACGGGAACUCCAAGAUUCUCAUAUUAAAUUAAAAGAAUUUGUGCUUGGAGUUCCCGUCAUGGAGCAGUGGAAACGAAUCCAACUAGGAACCAUGACGUUGCGGGUUCAAUCCCUGGCCUCGCUCAGUGGGCUGAGGAUCCAGCGUUGCCAUGAGCUGUGG